rnacentral:rRNA from 1 species
UACCUGGCCUUGACAUUUCCGGAAUUCUGCAGAGAUGCGGGAGUGCCUUUGGGAAUUUGAACACCGGUGGUGCAUGGCUGUUGUUAACUUGUGUUGUGAGAUGUUGGGUUAAGUUCCGCAACGAGGGCCACCCUUGUCCUUAGUUGCCAACCAGUUAUGGUGGGAACUUUAAGGAGACUGCCGGUGACAAACCGGAGGAAGGUGGGGAAGAAGUCAAGUUAUCAUGGCCCUUACGGCCAGGGGUACCCCCGUUCUUCAAUGGUCGGUACAAAAGGGUGGGAAACCCGGGGGGGGAGCCAAAUCCAGAAAACCGAUCCCAAUUCGGAAUGGAGUUUGCAAAUUGACUCCCAGAAAUUGGAAAUCGCUAGAAUC